rnacentral:rRNA from 1 species
GAGUUUGAUCAUGGCUCACAUUGAACGCUGGCGGCAUGCCUUACACAUGCAAGUCGAACGGCAGCACGGGUGCUUGCACCUGGUGGCGAGUGGCGAACGGGUGAGUAAUACAUCGGAACAUGUCCUGUAGUGGGGGAUAGCCCGGCGAAAGCCGGAUUAAUACCGCAUACGAUCUACGGAUGAAAGCGGGGGACCUUCGGGCCUCGCGCUAUAGGGUUGGCCGAUGGCUGAUUAGCUAGUUGGUGGGGUAAAGGCCUACCAAGGCGACGAUCAGUAGCUGGUCUGAGAGGACGACCAGCCACACUGGGACUGAGACACGGCCCAGACUCCUACGGGAGGCAGCAGUGGGGAAUUUUGGACAAUGGGCGAAAGCCUGAUCCAGCAAUGCCGCGUGUGUGAAGAAGGCCUUCGGGUUGUAAAGCACUUUUGUCCGGAAAGAAAUCCUUGGCUCUAAUACAGUCGGGGGAUGACGGUACCGGAAGAAUAAGCACCGGCUAACUACGUGCCAGCAGCCGCGGUAAUACGUAGGGUGCGAGCGUUAAUCGGAAUUACUGGGCGUAAAGCGUGCGCAGGCGGUUUGCUAAGACCGAUGUGAAAUCCCCGGGCUCAACCUGGGAACUGCAUUGGUGACUGGCAGGCUAGAGUAUGGCAGAGGGGGGUAGAAUUCCACGUGUAGCAGUGAAAUGCGUAGAGAUGUGGAGGAAUACCGAUGGCGAAGGCAGCCCCCUGGGCCAAUACUGACGCUCAUGCACGAAAGCGUGGGGAGCAAACAGGAUUAGAUACCCUGGUAGUCCACGCCCUAAACGAUGUCAACUAGUUGUUGGGGAUUCAUUUCCUUAGUAACGUAGCUAACGCGUGAAGUUGACCGCCUGGGGAGUACGGUCGCAAGAUUAAAACUCAAAGGAAUUGACGGGGACCCGCACAAGCGGUGGAUGAUGUGGAUUAAUUCGAUGCAACGCGAAAAACCUUACCUACCCUUGACAUGGUCGGAAUCCCGCUGAGAGGUGGGAGUGCUCGAAAGAGAACCGGCGCACAGGUGCUGCAUGGCUGUCGUCAGCUCGUGUCGUGAGAUGUUGGGUUAAGUCCCGCAACGAGCGCAACCCUUGUCCUUAGUUGCUACGCAAGAGCACUCUAAGGAGACUGCCGGUGACAAACCGGAGGAAGGUGGGGAUGACGUCAAGUCCUCAUGGCCCUUAUGGGUAGGGCUUCACACGUCAUACAAUGGUCGGAACAGAGGGUUGCCAACCCGCGAGGGGGAGCUAAUCCCAGAAAACCGAUCGUAGUCCGGAUUGCACUCUGCAACUCGAGUGCAUGGAGCUGGAAUCGCUAGUAAUCGCGGAUCAGCAUGCCGCGGUGAAUACGU